rnacentral:rRNA from 1 species
AACGAACGCUGGCGGCAUGCCUAACACAUGCAAGUCGAACGAGACCUCCGGGUCUAGUUGCGCACGGGUGCGUAACGCGUGGGAACCUGCCCGUAGGCUCGGUAUAACUCCCCGAAAGGGAUGCUAAGACCGGGUCAUGUAUUCGGACCAAAGAUUUGUCGCCUUGGGAUGGGCCCGUGUUGGGUUAGCUAGUUGGUAUGGUAAAAGCCUACCAAGGCGACGAUCCAUAGCUGGUCGGAGAGGAGGCCAAGCCAGACUGGGAACGCGGCACGGCCCAGACUCGUACGGGAGGGAGCAGUGGGGAAUAUUGGAGGAGGGGCGAUAGUCUGAUGCAGCCGUGUCGGGGAAGUGAUGAAGGGCUUAGGGUUGUAAAGCUCGUUUAGCAGGGGUGAUAGUGACAGUACCGGGAGAAUAAGCUCCGGCUAACUACGUG